rnacentral:lncRNA from 1 species
GAUUUAUUUCCUACAUUUUGUAAUAAAGGCAACAGUAGUAUACCGCUGUUCGAAAUUCAUAAAUCUUAUGAGAAAAAAACAAAUCCGGGUUACAAACUAAAACUGAGGAAACACAUCAAAUAUAACAUUAUAACUACGACACAACUGAAACACAAUAUUUAAAUGUAACACUCACAGAAAGGAACUAUAGUAUAACAAUGGCCAUUUUCCUGACAGGGUACAGGACAUCUUAAGCAAAAAAAAAAAAAAAAUGGUGGGUUGAACCUGGUUUUGUGGCAUGCCACGCUUAUAUGGCAAUGUUAAAUAUCACAUUAAAAUGACAACAUUACAUGACAGGACUACAAUACAAAUAAAUCGGAGAACAUAUAGGACAGAUAAAAAGACACGAAUAAUAUGGGGACGAAGUCCCCAAUUACGGUAGAAAAAUCAAUAAAAAAAAAAAAAAAAAAAAAAAUCGGGAAAAUUU